rnacentral:rRNA from 1 species
AUGUAUCCUAAUUUUGGCAUAAUUCUUCUUCUAAUGACCGAUUCAACCUCUGAUCAAAAAGAUAGACCUUGGUUCUAUUUCAUCUCUUCAACACGUUUAGUAAUAAGCAUAACGGCCCUAUUGUUCCAAUGGAGAGAAGAACCUAUAAAUAGCUUUUGGGGAAAUUUCCAAACGAACAAUUUCAACGAAAUCUUUCAAUUUCUAAUUUAA